GUAGGGAAUAUUGCGCAAUGGACGAAAGUCUGACGCAGCGACGCCGCGUGAGUGAUGAAGGCCUUAGGGUCGUAAAGCUCUGUUGAAUGGGAAGAAAAAAUGACGGUACCAUUCGAGGAAGGACCGGCUAACUUCGUGCCAGCAGCCGCGGUAAUACGAGGGGUCCUAGCGUUGUUCGGAAUCAUUGGGCGUAAAGGGUGUGUAGGUGGCCAUGUAAGUCAGGUGUGAAAGCCCCGGGCUCAACCCGGGAAGUGCACUUGAUACUGCGUGGCUUGAGUACCGAAGAGGGUAGUGGAAUUCCAGGUGUAGUGGUGAAAUACGUAGAUAUCUGGAGGAACACCGGUGGCGAAGGCGGCUACCUGGUCGAGUACUGACACUGAGACACGAAAGCAUGGGGAUCAAACAGGAUUAGAAACCCGAGUAGUCC
rnacentral:rRNA from 1 species